rnacentral:rRNA from 1 species
UACGGGGGGGGCAAGCGUUGUUCGGAAUUACUGGGCGUAAAGGGCUCGUAGGUGGCCAACUAAGUCAGACGUGAAAUCCCUCGGCUUAACCGGGGAACUGCGUCUGAUACUGGAUGGCUUGAGUUCGGGAGAGGGAUGCGGAAUUCCAGGUGUAGCGGUGAAAUGCGUAGAUAUCUGGAGGAACACCGGUGGCGAAGGCAGCCUUCUGGGCCAACACUGACGCUCAUGCACGAAAGCGUGGGGAGCAAACAGG